UACAGAGGGGGCAAGCGUUGUUCGGAAUUACUGGGCGUAAAGGGCGCGCAGGCGGCCCGCUAAGUCGAACGUGAAAUCCCCGAGCUCAACUCGGGAACUGCGUCCGAUACUGGUGGGCUUGAAUCCGGGAGAGGGAUGCGGAAUUCCAGGUGUAGCGGUGAAAUGCGUAGAUAUCUGGAGGAACACCGGUGGCGAAGGCGGCAUCCUGGACCGGCAUUGACGCUGAGGCGCGAAAGCUAGGGGAGCAAACGGG
rnacentral:rRNA from 1 species